GAUGAACGCUGGCGGCGUGCCUAAUACAUGCAAGUCGAGCGAACGGACGAGAAGCUUGCUUCUCUGAUGUUAGCGGCGGACGGGUGAGUAACACGUGGAUAACCUACCUAUAAGACUGGGAUAACUUAGGGAAACCGGAGCUAAUACCGGAUGAUAUUUUGAACCGCAUGGUUCAAAAGUGAAAGACGGUCUUGCUGUCACUUAUAGAUGGAUCCGCGCUGCAUUAGCUAGUUGGUAAGGUAACGGCUUACCAAGGCAACGAUGCAUAGCCGACCUGAGAGGGUGAUCGGCCACACUGGAACUGAGACACGGUCCAGACUCCUACGGGAGGCAGCAGUAGGGAAUCUUCCGCAAUGGGCGAAAGCCUGACGGAGCAACGCCGCGUGAGUGAUGAAGGUCUUCGGAUCGUAAAACUCUGUUAUUAGGGAAGAACAUAUGUGUAAGUAACUGUGCACAUCUUGACGGUACCUAAUCAGAAAGCCACGGCUAACUACGUG
rnacentral:rRNA from 1 species